UACGUAGGGUGCGAGCGUUGUCCGGAAUUAUUGGGCGUAAAGAGCUCGUAGGCGGCUUGUCGCGUCGUUCGUGAAAACCCGGGGCUCAACUCCGGGCUUGCGGGCGAUACGGGCAGGCUAGAGUUCGGUAGGGGAGACUGGAAUUCCUGGUGUAGCGGUGAAAUGCGCAGAUAUCAGGAGGAACACCGGUGGCGAAGGCGGGUCUCUGGGCAACAACUGACGCUGAGGAGCGAAAGCGUGGGGAGCGAACAGG
rnacentral:rRNA from 1 species